AUGAAUACUUCAAGGAAGGAUAUGAAAACCGGGGAGUUGAUAAAACAAGAGUUUGUUUGCAACAAGUUUCGAAAGCCCAAUGUCGAUGACGGAGGGGCAGAAAAGAUUCUCAUGCUAGAUGACAUUGUUGAGCAAGCAAAAGAUGAUAAUGAAGAUGAGGCUAUUGUCUUUCUUGAUGAUGAUAGUAAAGGCAAAAAGAGGAGCAAGAAACGAAAAAGAGAUAAAAUUGUGCAAACUGGUUGCAAAGCUAAAAUGAUUGUGAAGGUAAUAGAUGGCAGAUGGGAGGUGAUCUACUUUGUUGGCAAGCACAACAAUCCAUUGGUUGACAAGCCAUGUUUGACUAAGUAUUUGUGAUCACACCAAGGGAUCCCGCCAGAAGAAAGGGCCAUCCUUACUCAUCUUCAUAACUGCAAUUUAACUACAGGUUUUAAACCAUACCCCCUCCCCCUACCUUCUAACUUUAAGAACAUGGACAUGCCUAUUGGUUGUAAGUUUCUUGGACCAUCAACAACUACCUGA
rnacentral:rRNA from 1 species